UAUUUUCUCUGAGAUGCAAGUAAAAUCAGAAAUCCACGAGAUUGUUUACAGCUUUCAGCUCAAAUUGGAAGGGCAGAAGUUGAAUUCCUGCAAGAAGAAAGUACCAAGUCACCACAAUUAACCAUUUCACUGCGGAUUGGGUUUGCUGGAGACCUGUCUCCUCUGGCCAUGUUGCUGCUGGUCAGUUUUAGAUCGUGGGAGCUGCACAAUGUGGCUGGUGGCUCCUGGCAGCGUUGGAGCUAAAUGGUCCCC